rnacentral:tRNA from 1 species
GCAUUGGUAGCUCAAUUGGAUAGAGUACCCGGCUACGAACCGGGCGGUUAGUGGUUCGAGUCCACUCCAGUGCA